AUUCCAGCUCCAAUAGGAUAUAUCAAAGUUGUUGCAGUUAAAAAGCUCGUAGUUGAAUUUCUGGAAGGUAGAAGUGUUUUUCUAGAGAAGCAAUUUUUUAUUGAAGACACCGCUUUCCAUUUUGUGGAUUUCUGUUUUGUAUGAGAUAGUUUACUCUAUUUUAUAUAAAAUACCACUCCGUCACUGAGAGCAAAUUGGAGUGCUCAAAGCAGGCCUUAUUAGCUUUGAACAUUUUAGCUUGGAAUGACAAGAUAUGACUUUUGUUUUAUUUUGUUGGUUAUGAAAUUAAAGUAAUGAUUAACAGGAACAGUUGCGGGGGUACUCGUAUUGAAAGGUCAGAGGUGAAAUUCUUGGAUUCUUUCAAGACGAACGACUGCGAAAGCAUUUACCAAGGAUGUUUUCAUUAAUCAAGAACGAAAGCUCGGGGAUCGAAGAUGAUUAGAUACCAUCGUAGUCCGACGCCAUAAACGAUGCCGACUCGGGAUUAUUUUGUUUGUUUAAAAUAAAAAAGAACACAAAGUAGCACCGUAUGAGAAAUCAAAGUCUUUGGGUUCCGGGGGGAGUAUGGUCGCAAGGCUGAAACUUAAAGGAAUUGACGGAAGGGCACACCAGAGGUGGAGCCUGCGGUUUAAUUUGACCCAACACGGGGAAACUUACCAGGUCCAGACAUGAUGAGGAUUGACAGUUUGAAAGCACUUUCUUGAUUUCAUGGGUGGUGGUGCAUGGCCGUUCUUAGUUGGUGGAGUGAUUUGUCUGGUUGAUUCCGAUAACGAACGAGACGGGGUGAAUUUACUAGUUUGUUAUAUAAUUUACGUUAUAUAAGACUUCUUUAUUCGACAACUUGGUUUUACCAAGAGGAAGCGCCCCGCAAUAACAGGUCUGUGAUGCCCUUAGAUGUUCUGGGCUACACGCGCGCUACAAUGACGAAUUCAACGAGUUUAAAAUUCAUUCCUUAUCCGGAAGGAUGUGGGUAAUCUUUUCAAUAUUCGUCGUGAUGGGGCUAGAUUUUUGCAAUUAUUAAUCUUCAACGAGGAAUCUCUAGUAUGUGCAAGUCAUCAGCUUGCGCAGAAUGCGUCCCUGCCCUUUGUACACACCGCCCGUCGCACCUACCGAUUGGACGAUCCGGCAAGAUGUUUGGAGUUGUUUUGAUUGUAGAGUAAUUUAUGAUGAAAAUGACAAAGCUCUUCAAACCUUAUCGUCUAGAGGAAGGUGAAGUCGUAACAAGGUCUCCGUAGGUGAACCUGCGGAGG
rnacentral:rRNA from 1 species